rnacentral:rRNA from 1 species
GGUCAAGCUAGAAAGGGCAUAUGGUGGAUGCCUUGGCGCCAAGAGCCGAAGAAGGACGUGGUAAGCUGCGAAAAGCGACGGAGAGCUGCAAGCGAGUGAUGACCCGUCGAUGUCCGAAUGGGGAAACCCGUCGGGAGUAAUGUCCCGACACUGUGCACUGAACACAUAGGUGUAUGGAGGUAACCCGGGGAACUGAAACAUCUUAGUACCCGGAGGAAGAGAAAGAAAAAUCGAUUUCCUUAGUAGCGGCGAGCGAAGCGGAAAGAGCCCAAACCAAUGAUUUAUCAUUGGGGUUGAAGGACUGCGAUAUUUGAAGUGAUGAUUAGUUGAAGAGGUCUGGAAAGUCCCGACAUAGAAGGUAACAUCCCUGUAAGCGAAAAUCAGAGCGGAGAUAGCAGAAUCCUGAGUACCGCAGGACACGUGGAACCCUGUGGGAAUCCGGGGGGCCCACCCCCCAAGGCUAAAUACUCCUUGGCGACCGAUAGUGAACCAGUAC